ACGUAGGGUGCGAGCGUUAAUCGGAAUUACUGGGCGUAAAGCGUGCGCAGGCGGUGAUGUAAGACAGGUGUGAAAUCCCCGGGCUUAACCUGGGAACUGCGCUUGUGACUGUACGGCUAGAGUGUGUCAGAGGGGGGUAGAAUUCCACGUGUAGCAGUGAAAUGCGUAGAGAUGUGGAGGAAUACCGAUGGCGAAGGCAGCCCCCUGGGAUAACACUGACGCUCAUGCACGAAAGCGUGGGGAGCAAACAGUA
rnacentral:rRNA from 1 species